rnacentral:rRNA from 1 species
UACGUAGGGUCCGAGCGUUGUCCGGAAUUACUGGGCGUAAAGUGUGCGCAGGCGGCCGAGCAAGUCGAGUGUGAAAGCCCCGAGCUUAACUUGGGAACUGCGCUCGAAACUACUUGGCUAGAGUGUGGCAGAGGGAGGUGGAAUUCCACGUGUAGCGGUGAAAUGCGUAGAGAUGUGGAGGAACACCGAUGGCGAAGGCAGCCUCCUGGGCCAACACUGACGCUCAUGCACGAAAGCGUGGGGAGCAAACAGG